AAAAUCUCUCAGAAUAGUUUCCAUCGCUAAUCUAUACUACUAAGAAUUUAACAAGAUUUUAUGAACAACAUAGCUAUGCCUUCAAAAUAAAAGGAGAUAAAAUAACAUGCAUUAUAUUCAGUAACGGGAACAUAUGGUGCACCUCAACAAGUAAUUUUUCCUUCAUAAAUAGUUCAUAAGAAACCUAACAGAAUUUAUUUUGCAUUUUUAUCAUUUUUCUAUGAUUUUAUACGGAUUUCCAAAGUUUUAGCCAUUUCAAUUAAAAUUAAACCUGAAAAAGGAAAAAUGCUUUUGCAAGAAAGCCCUCCGAAACAACUUUUUCCAACAGGUCCACCCUUCCUUUUACAAGCUAGCCCCUGACUCUUACACUUAAGCCCCUUGACAAACUUCCACCUCACACUUAAACCUAGACAUUUAAUGAAAACCCCCCUGGACUUCUGUCUUCCUCGCACAUAGCACCCUGGUCUUCUUCAACCUCGAGCUCGCCCGCACGCCUGCACGGCGGUGACGACAGCACGGCCACACCGGCACAGUGGCGCCUCCUCCCACCCCGAAGACUACCCCAUUGCCUUCCCCAUCACUUUCUUCCCCUCUUUUCUCCUCAAACACUAACCCGAGACAACGGCUUGACUAGAGACGGCGCACGGCCGGCGGCGAGCUCACGAACGAGUGUGGCAACUAGCCUAAGAAGAUGAAGUGGUGGGCGCUAGGGCACCAGGAGCUCACCGUAGCUCCGUUUGUGGGGUUAGUAGGGCAAAAGGAGGAUGGGAGGUGAGGGUUUGAUGGCGGGGUGGAGUUUGUGCGGGCGGCGGCAAUGGCGGCAUAGGAAAUUCAAUUUCUGGUGGUUUGGGCCAUGGCACAGGGCAAUAGGUGGUGGAGGAGGUAGCUGGAGGGGUUGAAGAGUAGUGGGUGGUGGUGAUUUGAGAAUGGCGGGGGUCAGUGGCGGAUUGUGCUAGCGAACAGUGGAGACGCUCUCGGCUGUGUUUUGCUCUAGUUUUUGGCUAUGUCAUGGAAGCGAAUGGAAAGGGAGAGAGAGAGGGAGACCGGCAGCUUGAGGGGGGUCAUGGUCGUCGGUCUGCGGCAUGGCCCUAGCAAGUAGUGGCAAGGCACAAGUGAGCAGUGGCGGCCAAGCGCGGCAGUGGCGGUCAGGCGCGGCAAGAGUGACGGCGUGGCGUGGCGUCAGUGGCCUAGCGCGGUGGAGUUGGUGGCGAUGAGAUGGCAAGGGUAUGUGAUGAGGACAUCGCUCCUUUAGUUACACAUGAUAUUCCUCCAAUUGUUCUGCAGGGACCAAUCACUAGAGCUUGAGCUAGACAAUUGAAUCAACAGGUGAGCUCAUUCUUGUGUACUUCUUUUCGUAAUUUUGAGAAUGGGUUGCUACCCAAUGAUGUUAUUGUGCUUAGGAAU
rnacentral:lncRNA from 1 species